GGAGCUUGGGAGAGCAAAGCAAUUGCAGGUGUGAUACUGUGCUAGGGGAUUAACCUGUUAGCAGCUGGCUCUCUCCUAAAGGAAGAAAAUAAACGACAAAAUUUCAUAGCCGGAAAAUACAGCUAAGGGGAGCUGUUCUGAAUUUCAGUUAGGACUCUACAGAACUGUUUUGUACUGAACACUGAUAGACCAAGUGCUGUCAUCCUCAUGGUGCUCAAGCCUCUCCACAUCUUACUUAUCUGGAGUUCACAAAGCUGGACACAGUAAAUCUCUUGAUGGAGUUUCAGUUUUCCAACUAAAGUAUUUCAACUGGCUUGAGGUCUCAAACUUGAAGAAAUAAAUGGAUCAAGUCCCAGAGGAGAUGACCUGUCAGAUGCCUAGAAAAAUGAAUUAAGGAAAAAAAAAUACUAUUGUUUAUUUUAGCAAGAAUAUGAGAAGACACUUUGUAUAUAUACAGAAGAUAUCAAUGCAAAGGGUCAGUAACCAGAUCUCAAUCAUAUUCUUUUCUCAUAAUAUCUGGCCAAAAUCACAGAAAUGCUGCCCAACCAGAGCUGAGCCUUCAGAGCAAGCAACAGAGAAAAUCCAGAUGGAAACCACAGUGGCCAGGUCUUCAGGAUCAUUCAGAUGCAAGACCUGUGAUGUUCAGCUUGUCAUCAACCAGGAAAGUCAUAGGUGAACUCAUGAAAACUGGAUACCAUAGAGAAGCUAAUGGAGGUCCUGUCUGGGCAUUAUGGAUGGAAGGAUUUCUAUAAAUGCAUUCUGCUUUCCGGCUCCUACCCCGACAUUUUCCUGCCAAAGCCGUGACUUCUCCCUGAUUUUGCUUUGCAUGACUGGGAGAGCAAAGGCAGAAAACACAUCUUUAAAGUGACAAGAGACACUGUGGGAUCCUUGCUUAAGAGUCCUGAACACAGCACAAAGUGAUUUGAAUUGUUCACUGAAGAUUUUACUGCAAGAAUGAACACUUACUUUCCCUUGGGAAAGAAAGAAAGAAAGAAAGAA